CCGCGUGAGUGAUGAAGGCUUUCGGAUCGUAAAACUCUGUUGUUAGGGAAGAACAAGUGCUAGUUGACUAAGCUGUACCCUUGACGUACCCUAACCAAAAGCCAACGGUAAACUACUGGCCACCACCCCCGGUAUUCCUUAGUUGGCAGCGUUUUUCCGAAAUUUUGGGGCUUAAACGGGCGCCAGGUGGUCUUUUAAUUUGAAUUUGAAACCCCCCGGUUCACCCGGGAAGGGCCUUGGAAAACGGGGGAACUUGAUGGCAAAAAAGAAAAUUGAAAUUCCAGUGGUACCGUUAAAUGGCUUAAAGUUUGGAAGAACACCCAUUGCGAAAGGGAACUUUCGGGCUGUUACCGGACCUUAAGGCCCGAAGCCUGGGGGAGCAAACAGAAUAAAUACCCCGGGUGUCCCCCGCCUAAAACAAUGAGGGCUAAUUGUUAGGGGGUUCCCCCCCUUUAUGG
rnacentral:rRNA from 1 species